rnacentral:rRNA from 1 species
UACGGAGGGUGCAAGCGUUAUCCGGAUUCACUGGGCUUAAAGGGCGCGUAGGUGGUCUAGUAAGUCAGUGGUGAAAUCUCCGGGCUUAACCCGGAAACUGCCAUUGAUACUAUUUGUCUUGAAUACUGUGGAGGUCAGCGGAAUAUGUCAUGUAGCGGUGAAAUGCUUAGAUAUGACAUAGAACACCAAUUGCGAAGGCAGCUGGCUACACAAAUAUUGACACUGAGGCACGAAAGCGUGGGGAUCAAACAGG